GUAGACCUCAAGCGUUAUCCGGAUUUAUUGGGCGUAAAGAGCUAAAAGGCGGUUUGGAAAGUUGGAUAUAAAAGCCCGGGGCUCAACUCUGGAUCUAUAUCCAAAACUUCUAAACUUGAGAAUGGAAGAGGCAAGCGGAAUGGCUGGUGUAGCAGUAAAAUGCGUUAAUAUCAGCUAGAACACCAACGGCGAAGGCAGCUUGCUGGUACAUUUCUGACGCUAAAUAGCGAAAGCGUGGGUAGCGAAUGGGGAUUAGAUACCCCAGUAGUCCACGCCGUAAACGCUGAGUGCUAGGUAUCGGAGAUUCGACAUCUUCGGUAUCGUUUCCAAGCUAACGCGUUAAGCACUCCGCCUGGGGAGUACGGCCGCAAGGCUA
rnacentral:rRNA from 1 species